rnacentral:rRNA from 1 species
AAGAGUCCACAUCGACGGGGAGGUUUGGCACCUCGAUGUCGGCUCAUCGCAUCCUGGGGCUGUAGUCGGUCCCAAGGGUUGGGCUGUUCGCCCAUUAAAGCGGUACGCGAGCUGGGUUCAGAACGUCGUGAGACAGUUCGGUCCCUAUCCGUCGUGGGCGUAGGAAAUUUGAGAGGAGCUGUCCUUAGUACGAGAGGACCGGGAUGGACGCACCGCUGGUGUACCAGUUGUUCUGCCAAGGGCAUAGCUGGGUAGCUAUGUGCGGAAGGGAUAAGUGCUGAAAGCAUCUAAGCAUGAAGCCCCCCUCAAGAUGAGAUUUCCCAUAGCGUAAGCUAGUAAGAUCCCUGAAAGAUGAUCAGGUUGAUAGGUUCGAGGUGGAAGCAUGGUGACAUGUGGAGCUGACGAAUACUAAUAGAUCGAGGACUUAACCAUAUAA